rnacentral:rRNA from 1 species
AUUGAACGCUGGCGGCGUGCUUAACACAUGCAAGUCGAUCGGUAACAGGUGUAGCAAUACAUGCUGACGAGAGGCGGACGGGUGAGUAAUGCUUGGGAAUCUGCCUAUUAGUGGGGGACAACCCGGGGAAACUCGGGCUAAUACCGCAUACGCUCUACGGAGGAAAGCCGGGGACCGCAAGGCCUGGCGCUAAUAGAUGAGCCCAAGUCGGAUUAGCUAGUUGGUAGGGUAACGGCCUACCAAGGCGACAAUCCGUAGCUGGUCUGAGAGGACGACCAGCCACACCGGAACUGAGACACGGUCCGGACUCCUACGGGAGGCAGCAGUGGGGGAAUAUUGGACAAUGGGGGCAACCCUGAUCCAGCGACGCCGCGUGGGUGAAGAAGGCCUGCGGGUUGUAAAGCCCUUUCGGUGGGG